rnacentral:rRNA from 1 species
UACGGGGGGAGCAAGCGUUGUUCGGAUUUACUGGGCGUAAAGCGCACGUAGGCGGAUUUGUAAGUCAGGGGUGAAAUCCCGGGGCUCAACCCCGGAACUGCCUUUGAUACUGCGAAUCUCGAGUCCGGAAGAGGUGAGUGGAAUUCCGAGUGUAGAGGUGAAAUUCGUAGAUAUUAGGAAGAACACCAGUGGCGAAGGCGGCUCACUGGUCCGGUACUGACGCUGAGGUGCGAAAGCUAGGGGAGCAAACGGG